rnacentral:lncRNA from 1 species
AUGUAUUGUAGUGUUGGCUUGUAUGUUGGCUUGAGACCACAUAGUUGCUCCUUGCCCUUCUAUUCUACCUCCUCUCCCUUCCCCCUCUCUCUCCUCCAUUCUCUUUCUCCGUUGCUCUCCUGUCGCUCUCUCCACCCCUUUCAGUCUCCCUCGCUCUCUCUGUCUGUCUCGCUCUCUCUCUCUGUCUCGCUCUCCCCCUUGCUCGCUCUCUCUCCACCCCUCUCUCCAACUCCCUCGCUCUCUCUCUCCACCCCUGUCUCAGUCUCCCUCGCUCUCUCUGUCUCGCUCUGUCCCUUGCUCUCUCUCUCUGCACCCCUCCAUCUCCCUCGCUCUCUGUCUCCCUCUCUCCCUUGCUCGCUCUCUCUACACCCCUCUCUCCGUCUCCCUCGCUCUCUCUGUCUCGCUCUCUCUCUCUCUCUGUCUCCCUCUCUCCCUUGCUCGCUCUCUCUCCACCCCUCUCCGUCUCCCUCACUCUCUCUCCACCCCUCUCUCCGUCUCCCUCGCUCUCUCUGUCUCCCUCUCUCCCUCGCUCUCUCUCUCUCCACCCCUCUCCGUCUCCCUCGCUCUCUCUCUCUCCACCCCUGUCUCCGUCUCCCUCGCUCUCUCUCUCUCCUCCAUUCUCUUUCUCCCUUGCUCUCCUGUUGCUCCCUCCACCCCUUUCCGUCUCCCUCGCGCUCUCUCUCCACCCCUCUCUCCGCUUCCCUCGCGCUCUCUCUGCACCCCUCCAUCUCCCUCGCUCUCUCUGUCUCGCUCUCCCCCUUGCUCACUCUCUCUCCACCCCUCUCUCCGUCUCCCUCGCUCUCUCUCUCCACCCCUGUCUCCGUCUCCCUCUCUCUCCUCCAUUCGCUUUCUCCCUUGCUCUCCUGUCGCUCUCUCCGUCUCCCUUGCGCUCUCCCUCCACCCCUUUCCAUCUCCCUCGCCCUCUCUCUCCACCCCUCUCGCCGCUUCCCUCGCGCUCUCUCUCUGCACCCCUUCAUCUCCUUCCCUCGCUCUCUCUCUCGCUCUCUCUCCACCCCUCUCUCUGUCUCCCUCUCUCUCUCCACCCCUCUGUCUCCCUUGCGCUCUCACUUCUGCAGGAUGUUUUUGUUGAGUUGGAUUUUCAUUGUCCGGCGGCUGAGUUGGCUGCUGUCCCAAAGCAGAGCUGCUAUACAGCAGAGCAGAGAGGUCCGCUAA